CUCGUCUCGUUACUACCGUGUAGAACGCAAAAGGGAUCGCUCUGGUUCCGGGAGGCGGUGUGCUCUGCUGUGUGCGGUUUUUAACGUGUUUUUCCCGUGUGCAAUCCCCCGGGCUGAAGACAGUUGUGUGAGUGUGCCUCCCGUGCGCCUCACCUGUCAUACCCCGUGCGCUAGCGUGUUUUCGUGUGCGUCUUCGCGUUUUCUGUGCGAAAAGAGAUCGAUCGCAGAGAAGAUCCAAGACGGCCGAACAACGGGCCAAGAGUCGGUAAUUAGAAAAGCAGCAGCAAAUCGCGCUAAGUAAAAAACAAAAGGAAGAAAAAACUACAACGAGCGAGUUGAAAAACCUCGUCGUUGGUUGUGUUGGAACAAGCGAGAGAACAGAUUGAUUUGUGCCCGCGCAUCCUUCUGAGUGUGUGGUAGAGAACCAGUGUGCGAGAGGGACGAAAGAGAGGGAGAUAGAGAGAGAGUAAGAGAAUUAUUCUCUCUCACUAUCUAAAAAAGAGAAAACAUCAGUCAAGGUAUUUCGCUCAUCUCAGCAGCAGCAGCAGCAGCAGAAGCAGCAGCGCAAGGCAGCAGUAAUUUGUAAGCCGCAGUAGUUAGCAGCAGUCGUCGCAGUUCGCAGCAAGCGCCGUAGCAGCAAAACCCCCAGUGUCAGCCAGUUUUUUCGCGCAGCCACACCACUCCACCUAAAAGCAUCAAAAAUGGCCGAUCAACUGACGGAAGAACAAAUCGCAGAGUUCAAAGAAGCGUUCUCGCUUUUCGAUAAGGACGGUGACGGCACAAUCACGACCAAGGAAUUAGGCACCGUUAUGCGAUCGCUAGGCCAGAACCCCACAGAAGCAGAACUGCAAGACAUGAUCAACGAAGUCGACGCGGACGGCAACGGCACGAUCGAUUUCCCCGAGUUCCUCACAAUGAUGGCUCGAAAAAUGAAGGACACGGAUAGCGAAGAAGAAAUCCGGGAGGCAUUCCGAGUCUUCGAUAAGGACGGCAACGGUUUUAUUUCAGCAGCUGAGCUGCGCCACGUCAUGACUAAUCUCGGCGAAAAGCUAACAGACGAGGAAGUCGACGAGAUGAUCCGUGAAGCCGAUAUAGAUGGCGAUGGCCAGGUUAAUUAUGAAGAAUUCGUAACAAUGAUGACAUCGAAGUGAGCUACAGGUCGAUACAUUGCGCCUUUCUAUUUGUUUAUUAAGAAGACUGUAGCCACGCGCAACACCAGCUGCGCAACGCUAUCGCUAUGGAUUUAAAAGGAAGAAAAUGAUGAAAAGCAGCGUGGGAUGCAGUGGAGACAAGAAAGCAAGAUGAAGAUUAAAAGAAAGGAAGGAAAAAAUACAAAGAGUAAAAAUACAGAAAGUAAAAAAAGAUUAACAUUAAAUUUAACUUAAAAACAAAAGAAACAACAACACAGAGCAUACAAAAACGAAAAGCGAGAAUGAAGAGAACACGUACUACAUUUACUGAUGGCAAAAGGUGAAAAGUCAAAUAAAAACACAACAGCAACAACAGCAUCUUAGAAGAACAUCUUCAGCAAACAGCUAUUACUACAACUUCUACAACUACAGCCGCAAUAAAAAUAAUGAAAAGAGCUACAAACAACAACCAACAACAGGACAGCCACAAAUAAACUUCUUCAUCAUGCCACUACCAUCACAAGCGACACGACACACCCUCUCCCACGCAGAUGAAAGAAAGAGAACAAGUGCGUCCAAAUCAAACUAACGUUAAACUAGCAGAAUUGCAUCGGCGGCAACGAGAUAGCAAUAUGGCAACUGGCAGCAUAUAAACGACAACAUCGUGCAGAAGAUGCAGCAUCAAUCAGCAACGAGCAGCAGGCAGCGCAACAGCACCGACGGCGGCGGCAUCAGCGGCAACAGCAGUGCAGCAGCGCAAGCGACGGCUUAUGUGGCAAAAUACUACUUGGCAGCAAUAGGGUUGUGGAUCGUACGUGGUCUGGGUUUUGGGCGAAAGAAGUACGGGCAGAUUUGUGUCGCUUCUAUGGCACCCGUUUGCAAAUCUGCGGUUAAAGAGGGGAGCUUAGUUUAGAAUGGAGAAAGCGUGGAAGUGUCGGCAUUGGAGAAUGGCGGAUGUGCAUGACGUUGUAUUCGAUAAAAGUAACAGUAAAAGAUCUAACCACCGCAAAUACGGUCGAACUCCAGCCCAAACCCAAAGCAUAAGAGAGGAAGGUGAAAACGAAUGUGGCGUAGCAAAGUUGGUUUUUAGCUGAGCACUGUCGGAAUGUAGAGCACUUAAAGAUAAAGAGAACAAGAGAAAAAAAAACACACAAGGUUGAGAAAGAUCAUAAGAGUAGUACAUACAGAAGAAGCAAAGAAAAUGAGAACAAUGCAGCGAUAGUUAUUGCAGUCAACAUAAUUGAUAAAAAUAAGAGCUUUUCACUAAGAACUACUACCAGCAGUAAGCGAGAGAGAAAGAGUAAACAUAGUUUAUGAAACAACUUACAUGAUAAAGAAACAACAAACAAACAAACAAGCAAAACAAUCACAAGCACACAUACACACACAUACGGUACACAAACACACAAAACAUUCACAAACAAACACAUACACAGCCAAACGGUAAACCAACAGAAAACGAAAUCCAAAUGAAGGACACUUUCUUCCUUUCUUCCUUUCUUUCUUUCGUCGUCGUUGUCGUCGUCGUUGUCGCGUUUGUUAGUUGAAGAAAAAAUAUUUGAAACAGCAAGAACAAAAUCAAGCAACCACUUACAAUUAAAAAAUAAAAACCGAACAAAAAAAGUCUAAACCCAAAUAUAAGACCCUCUCCCUCUUGUGAGGAGAGGCUAUAAAUAACAAUCCAACAAAAGAAAAAAAAAAGAUCUAGCUUGCACACCACAAAACAUACACAGACAAACACACACACACAUACACAAAC